rnacentral:rRNA from 1 species
GAUGAACGCUGGCGGCGUGCUUAACACAUGCAAGUCGAACGAGAAGUGAAGACGGAAACCUUCGGGCGGAAGGCUUUAUUUCGAGUGGCGGACGGGUGAGUAACGCGUGGGUAACCUGCCUCAUACAGGGGGAUAACAGUUUGAAACGACUGUUAAUACCGCAUAAGACCACAGCACCGCAUGGUGCGGGGGUAAAAACUCCGGUGGUAUGAGAUGGACCCGCGUUCGAUUAGCCAGUUGGCGGGGUAACGGCCCACCAAAGCGACGAUCGAUAGCCGAUCUGAGAGGAUGACCGGCCACAUUGGGACUGAGACACGGCCCAAACUCCUACGGGAGGCAGCAGUGGGGAAUAUUGCACAAUGGGGGAAACCCUGAUGCAGCGACGCCGCGUGAGUGAAGAAGUAUUUCGGUAUGUAAAGCUCUAUCAGCAGGGAAGAAAAUGACGGUACCUGAGUAAGAAGCCCCGGCUAACUACGUG